GCUCAUGGGGGACACAUCCUGGUUCAUCGUCUUCUUCACACCAUCAUCACCACCAUCAUCAUCAUGGUCAGACAAACUCUUGUUCCUCAACAACAUGAGGAUGUGAUCCAUCAAACCUCCGUCGCAAGGAACCUGUAAAGGGCCACAAAUAGUGGAGCCAAACUCUUCCUCUGCCAUCUCCAAUAAGACCUGAAAGAUUGGAUGUUUGAGAUAAUCCAAGGGUAAAACAAACCUCCUGCCUUCUCUGGUAUACACAGCGAAGUGUCCUUUCUUACACUUCCUCCACUUCUCCAUCAAAUCGGUGAGUCUAAGCCUCGAGCAAGAUCUUUUCUUCAGAGACAUAUAGAGAGCUUUGAUAUGUUACCAAUAUAAUACCGUUGUGUAUACGGUUAGUAUGUUACUGUCUGAACUAUACUUGCCUCUCUCUCCACAUAUAUAUACUAUAAAAUCUGAUUAGUGUAUGUGGUAGUUGUCUUGCGGCUCAAAAAGAGGAUUAGGAAUGUGUGGAAGGAGUAAGGUAGCCGUGUGAUUCUUCAUUAUUUGGGUUAAAAAGAUAUAACUGUGAGAUUAAAUGUGUGGAUGUAUUAUUGUCUUGCAUCUCUAGGUCUAAACAAUAUUUUUUUUGGCAAAAGAAAUCUGAAAUAUACAUAUAUGAUAAA